GUCUAUCUUUGUCUUUCACGCUCCAGCUCUGCUGCAAUGUUUGGUGAUCCUGUGCAUCCACUCACAGAGAAAGAGGGAGCACAGGAAACCGUGGAAUCGCUGAGCAGUGGCCCUCACCCGAGGGAGAUGGGGCCCAGUCUAGAUGUUAAGUUCUGUCUCCUUUUCUAGGCUCAUCGGACCCUUGCAAGAGGACUCCUCUAGUUUUCUGCCUGUGGAAUGGGUCCCGUGGGGAGAAACACGCCCUGCCAGCUAGGCCGUGGGACUGUCAAGACCCAGGUGUUACUGAGUGCGGCCUGACUUCCUCUCUGCAUGAGGUGUGUCGUGCCAGCUCUGUGACACUUUCUCUUCAGAGAAGAGCAUCUCUCUGUGAAUCAAGAGCACCUUCUGUUGGCAACUGGGUCUCAUGAGCCCUAAAAACAAAGGUGCACUUCAGCAUUGCAGCAAACUUAGAGGAGACCAAGAAUACAGAAGCAUCACGUUCACGCAGCAUUCAAACAGAUGAAAUUAAUAAGAGAAAGAAAUGGUGAGGAGCUCAAGCUGCUUGAUGGGGAGCCGGAGAUGGAGCGGAGCAAGAGGCGACGGGGGGAGUAGAGGGCCCUGGCGUCUGCGGCUGCGUCGAGCUUUCCCGAGCUGAAGACCAAGGGUUAAUUCGCCAUAAUAAAAUCAGCACGAACACUG